rnacentral:rRNA from 1 species
UACAGAGGGUGCGAGCGUUGUUCGGAAUUAUUGGGCGUAAAGGGCGCGUAGGCGGUGCGGUAAGUCACCUGUGAAAUCUCCUGGCUCAACUGGGAGCUUGCAGGCGAAACUGCCGUGCUGGAGUGUGGGAGAGGUGAGUGGAAUUCCCGGUGUAGCGAUGAAAUGCGUAGAUAUCGGGAGGAACACCUGUGGCGAAAGCGGCUCACUGGACCACAACUGACGCUGAGGCGCGAAAGCUAGGGGAGCAAACAGG